rnacentral:rRNA from 1 species
UACGUAGGGGGCAAGCGUUAUCCGGAUUUACUGGGUGUAAAGGGAGCGUAGACGGCGGUGCAAGUCUGAAGUGAAAGGCAAGGGCUCAACCUUUGGACUGCUUUGGAAACUGUGCUGCUAGAGUGUCGGAGAGGCAAGUGGAAUUCCUAGUGUAGCGGUGAAAUGCGUAGAUAUUAGGAGGAACACCAGUGGCGAAGGCGGCUUGCUGGACGAUGACUGACGUUGAGGCUCGAAAGCGUGGGGAGCAAACAGG